rnacentral:rRNA from 1 species
AUGAACGCUGGCGGCGUGCCUAAUCCAUGCCAGUCGAGCGAACGGACGAGAAGCUUGCUUCUCUGAUGUUAGCGGCGGACGGGUGAGUAACUCGUGGAUAACCUACCUAUAAGACUGGGAUAACUUCGGGAAACCGGAGCUAAUACCGGAUAAUAUUUUGAACCGCAUGGUUCAAAAGUGAAAGACGGUCUUGCUGUCACUUAUAGCUGGAUCCGCGCUGCAUUAGCUAGUUGGUAAGGUAACGGCUUACCAAGGCAACGAUGCAUAGCCGACCUGAGAGGGUGAUCGGCCACACUGGAACUGAGACACGGUCCAGACUCCUACGGGAGGCAGCAGUAGGGAAUCUUCCGCAAUGGGCGAAAGCCUGACGGAGCAACGCCGCGUGAGUGAUGAAGGUCUUCGGAUCGUAAAACUCUGUUAUUAGGGAAGAACAUAUGUGUAAGUAACUGUGCACAUCUUGACGGUACCUAAUCAGAAAGCCACGGCUAACUACGUG